rnacentral:rRNA from 1 species
UCUCCAGACUCCUACGGGAGGCAGCAGUGGGGAAUAUUGCACAAUGGGGGAAACCCUGAUGCAGCGACGCCGCGUGAGUGAAGAAGUCUUUCGGUAUGUAAAGCUCUAUCAGCAGGGAAGAAAAUGACGGUACCUGACUAAGAAGCCCCGGCUAACUACGUGCCAGCAGCCGCGGUAAUACGUAGGGGGCAAGCGUUAUCCGGAUUUACUGGGUGUAAAGGGAGCGUAGACGGCAGAGCAAGUCUGAAGUGAAAGCCCGCGGCCCAACUGCGGGACUGCUUUGGAAACUGUAUGGCUGGAGUGCAGGAGAGGUAAGUGGAAUUCCUAGUGUAGCGGUGAAAUGCGUAGAUAUUAGGAGGAACACCAGUGGCGAAGGCGGCUUACUGGACGAUAACUGACGGUGAGGCGCGAAAGCGUGGGGAGCAAACAGGAUUAGAUACCCGAGUA